rnacentral:rRNA from 1 species
UACGGGGGGGGCAAGCGUUGUUCGGAAUUACUGGGCGUAAAGGGCGCGUAGGCGGUUUGCUAAGUUGGAUGUGAAAACUCUGGGCUUAACCCAGAGCCUGCAUCCAAAACUGGCAAACUUGAGUACUGGAGGGGAAAGCGGAAUUCCUGGUGUAGCGGUGAAAUGCGUAGAUAUCAGGAGGAACACCGGUGGCGAAGGCGGCUUUCUGGACGGAUACUGACGCUGAGACGCGAAAGCGUGGGGAGCGAACAGG